AGGAUAUUAGUUAAUUUCAUAACAUUUAAUUUGCAAUUAAAAAUUAUAUAUUCAA
rnacentral:tRNA from 1 species